rnacentral:tRNA from 1 species
CCAGGUAUGGCGAAAUAGGCAGACGCAAGGGACUUAAAAUCCCUCGGUGGAAACACCAUGUCGGUUCAAGUCCGACUACCUGGACCA